GACAGAGGGUGCAAACGUUGUUCGGAAUUACUGGGCGUAAAGCGUGUGUAGGCGGCCUUAUAAGUCGGAUGUGAAAGCCCCGGGCUCAACUCGGGAAGUGCACUCGAUACUGCUUAGCUCGAGUACCGGAGAGGUUGGUGGAAUUCUCGGUGUAGAGGUGAAAUUCGUAGAUAUCGAGAGGAACACCGGUGGCGAAGGCGGCCAACUGGACGAGUACUGACGCUGAGACACGAAAGCGUGGGGAGCAAACAGG
rnacentral:rRNA from 1 species